rnacentral:misc_RNA from 1 species
AACUUUUGACAACGGAUCACUUGGCUUUCGCAUCGAUGAAGGACGCCGCGAAAGUGCGAAACGUAUGUGAAUUGCAGAAUUCAGUGAAUCAUCGAAUCUUUGAACGCAUCUUGCGCCCCUUGGUAUUCCGAGGGGCAUGCCUGUUUGAGUGUCGUGAACUAACAUCGACCCUUGGCCUUGUAAUGGGGCCUCGGGGCGGAUUUGGACGCUGCGGGUCCCUUUAGUGGUCCGCUCGUCUUGAAAUGCAUCAGCCGGACUCUAACGCCUCGGUCUGACGGCGGCGUGAUAAGGUAUUCGUGCCGUAUUCGUCGUCUUGCGAUCGGGGGGAUUGGGGGCGGCUUCUAAUGGUCUUCGGACGCUUCAUUGUGAUCUGACCUCAAAUCAGGUAGGACUACCCGCCGAACUUAAGCAUAUCAAUAAGCGGAGGCU